GCCGCGGCCUUCGGGCUCCCGGAGCACCGGGGCUGAUCGCCGAGACUGCCCUCAAUUGUUUUCUGCUUGAGAAAACAUAGGUUGUGUUCUUCAUUAUCUAUCUGCAGGCACGGUGUGGCAUCUUUUGCUUGUUCUAACUGGGGUAUACGUUCCAGAUCCUUUAGCGUAAUAUCCUUUGGUCACAGAAAUGACAUCUUCAGGGAGACGACUUUGAAGAAAUGCCUGAAAGUGACAGUAGAAAUAUUUUCUUGUGUUACCUGCUGAAAGAUUGAAAUUUAGCAGAAGUAUCUAAUGAAGAGGAAUCUGAACAUUAGCAGUUGAGGAAGGAAAAAGAUUGGGAGAAGAGCCCAGAUGUCAUAAAGCAAAGGGAGAUUGAGGUAUAGGAAGCAGCUAUUAUUAUUUCUGUUGCGUGGCUCAAAGAACUCCAAGAAACUGAUUCCAUUCCACUGGGCAUAGGUUUCAAUUUGGGAUAGGAAUUUAUUUUUUAAUAAAAUUGAUAUUAGUGGAAACACACGGGAAACAGACAGGAAAACAAUUGAACAUAGUGACCUGAGUGGUUACAAUACCUCAUAUAAGGCAUCUUUUUCAGAAAUUAUUCUUCGGCGUUGUGGUGGGUUGCUUUCUAGGUAAGAAUGGGAGUGGCAGCUCUGCUGUAAUGAAUAAUGGCCUGGGUGGGAGAAAGAAGGAGAAGCCAGGAAGGAGCAAUUAACAGGGAAAUGAGGUUAUGUGGAAGGAAGGAGAUAGAUUCAGGAAAUUUCCAGGAGGUGAUAUCAACUGGGUUUAGUGACUGUUUUUAGGGGAUGGGGCCAUAAGGAGGUGGUGGCAAUGUUGUGCAGAAUAGAAGAUCCAGGAAGCAGAGCAGAUUUGCUGGGAAAGAUACAGAUUUAAAUCAUACAAGGUUUAUAACCCUGUCGUUUUUUUUAGGCUUCCUCUUCCAAACAGCAUAAACUAUUGCUUCCUAGAUGUAGCCUGCUUGUCUGUAAAGAACAGCCAGCCAUAGAAACUGGAGGCUGGGAAUGUGUUGGGAAGGGUAGAGAGACUAGAGGAAAUGAUUUAGAUGUGCAGUGGUCUUAAAAAUAUUUUCCCGCAAGCCAGGACUUAGCUAGCUUUGUAUCACUUUUGUUAGUAAGAUGGGAGUCAGUAAUAGGGGAUAGCAAGGAUGGACAGACCCUUGGGAGGAAGAGUUAAUGCAGCAGGUCUGGUUGCUUAUUCCUUGCAUGUCUCCAAGGAAACCAUGACUGACCCCGCCAACCCUGGGAAUUUGGCCCGUGGAAUGUUCUUUAUGUUAGAGACGAUUUUGUUGUGAACACCUGGAGAAACGGAACACGCCAUACUGGCUUGUCAGGUUGCUUUGCACAACGCGUACACCUGGUUUCAUUGUUGGGGUCCUGAGUCUCAGUUGCCAUAGCUGAUUGUAUAGCAGAAUGUGUGGACGUUAAUAGCUCCCCAUAAAAGCCUUGGACCCUGAGACUCAAAUGGGCUUCCUCAGGUAGAGCUAUUCCACGUGUGCCUGUAGUUUUGCUGCUAGACAGACAGAGAAUUCCUUGCAGCUUCAGGCCAAGAACAUUGGAUGCCUGUGCUGACCUCUCUGGACUUCCCCAAUGCAUCUUUUUCCCAUUGCUUUUGCUCUCUCUCCUUUGCUGUAAUAAGUCCUAGCCAUGUUUACAACCUGCUGUUGAGGCUUGUGAGUGAUUCUGGGAUCACCAAAGGAAACACCAUAUAUAAAGUUCUGAAGAAAUUUAAAACCCAGUUUGUCCAUUCGAGUCUUGAUAGGAUUCAUUGAAAAAUGAAUAAUCAACAUAUGCAAGUAUGUGCUAUGUAUGGAUUUAAACCGAAUCAAAUCUUUGGUCCAUGUCCAGGAGACAUUUAUAGUCUCUGUAGGGAUAUAGAACACGUAUAUAGAGUGUCAGGAAAAUGCCUACAGGCAUAAGUAUAAAUAAAAUCAAUUUAGCAAUAAAUGUAGAAGCAAGGCAGAAAAAGAGAGUAAAAUUUGUAGGAGUCAAUCAUGGUUUAUGGAAG